AAUCCAUGCAUCUGGCACUUCCAAAUUAAGUCUUUAAAUCUUUCCCAAGCUUCAUGUAGUGUUUCAUACUCUAAAUUUUAAAAAGAUGUGAUGUUAUUUCUAAGCUU
rfam:Gossypium hirsutum cultivar TM-1 chromosome 16, whole genome shotgun sequence